GGCUUGGCUGUCGUCCUUGACCGUCACCAUGGGGCACAAGGGCGCAGCCCCAGGACCUCGGAGCCCUGCCUGUGGUGGGAAGGGUGACCGCCCCGCUGCUCGCUGGUGUCUCCCGACGAAACAGCUUCGGUCACCUCCUCCUCAGCCUGUCUCCUUCGGACACUGUCUUGACUUCCUGGCAGCCCUGUCUAUUCUUAGGGCUCCUCUUCUAGACUCUUCCUUGAGAUGGUCUUCCGUGGUUGGUGGAGAGCUCCCUUGUCAGUUAGGUAGCCUGCCUUAUUUUGCCACCUGUCUUUCUCUCUGUUUUAUAGAUCAAAUAUGGAAAAAAAAAAAAAAAAGGAACAUUUGCUGGGAAAGGACGAUGCAGAGGACCAUCAGAGGAGGUGAUCCAGAUUUUAAGAGGCCGAGACCUCGGAGUGACUAG
rnacentral:lncRNA from 1 species